GCUAAAAGGCCUACUUCUCUAGUGAACAAGCAACUAGCUCUGCAAGGCAUUGAAGAAGGAGCAGCAGGCUUCGAGGGCCCCUUUAAGGAAAGGAAAAGUGAGAACAGAGGGCGAGCUUUCUUCUUCCGGGGAGAGCUUCCUGCCCUGUAACUGCUCCAGACAUUCAGAGCCGUGGCCUGAGGAAAAGAGGGAGAGAGGUCAGUGAGGCAGUGGUGCCAGAUAACACUCGUGACCCCUCCAGAAAGCACAGACACACAUUCUACAGGUCGUGUGAGUCUCUAGGAAGAGGACCUGAAGGAAAUUCAAACUAAGACCGGGUCCUCCAUCUGUGAGGUAACACCCCGGUGGCUAGGGAACGAUGGCCAUCGGGAUGGUCACCCCAUGAAGAUGACUGGGUGUUGAGGCUGGGAGUGGGGCCCCCAGGACCCUCCCUCCACAGAGGUUCCGGCUCCUGCAGGCGGCCUGGAUGGUCCAGAUGUGGGGCCCCGAUACACUCCGUGAGCACGCAGACCAAGCAAAAGGCUCCCCAAAAUGAAUCCAGCUCCCCCUAGAGACCAAUAAGGACCUCAUUUCCUCCUGAGCCUCUGGCCAUGGAAUCACAGAAGGGAAUCGUGAAUGAGGGAUCCAUUGUGGAAUAUGAAGCACAGAAUUAAUCAGAAAACACAGACACAGUUUUGGACAAAGACGCUGCCUCCUUGGGAAAAUUUUUAAAUAGCAUGCAUUAAAAAAAUAAAAAAUUCAGCAGCAAUUCUCUCCCUAUUACAGGAACAACACAGGGAAUGAAAACACAAGCUAAAACGAAAAACAGGACUGGCUACACAAUUUGGGGGUUUAUAUAAUAUAAUUUAUAUUUUUAAUUCGUCAUAUCAUUCUGACACAGCAAAGGCCUGGUGUCUGGGACUGAGUGAUGUGACAGUCCUUUGUCUCUUUAAUCCAGGACGAGCUGCAUAAUUUGCUGACCCCAGCACAGAAUGAGAAUGUGGAGUACCCUGUUCAAAAAUUAUUAAGAAUUUCAAGAGGGCUACGGCAGAGCAUUAAACCAAGGGCAGGCCCUUCUGAGUCUGGGAUCCUGUGUGGCUGCACAGCUCACACACCAUGGAGCCAGCCCCGCGAAGAAAGCUAAUGCUUCAGCAUCCAUGUAGUAACAGCCCACAAGAGACAACUGUGAACAGCUCAGCCAAGGAGCCACCUAGCAUAAUUCCAACUUCUCACUCAUUACUCUUCAAAGUUCACUCUUUCUCCUCUAAACUUUGGACUUCAGAAAGUCUGCUUUAGCAUUGCAGAAGUACUGUAUCUAAAAUGGGCAGUUUCUCCAGGCAGACAAAGCCAUUUCUUCUUGACUCUUCUCCAAACUUUCAUCUAUUCUAGUCCUGGCAAGCUUGGCUGCGCUGUUCAUUGGGCCUUUUCCUGUGCUCGAGUCAAGUCAUUAUCCUCUUUUUAUAUACUGCACUUCGUGCCCUUGUGAACCUG